rnacentral:rRNA from 1 species
AUUGAACGCUGGCGGCAGGCUUAACACAUGCAAGUCGAGCGGGGAAAGGUAGCUUGCUACCUAACCUAGCGGCGGACGGGUGAGUAAUGCUUAGGAAUCUGCCUAUUAGUGGGGGACAACAUUCCGAAAGGAAUGCUAAUACCGCAUACGCCCUACGGGGGAAAGCAGGGGAUCUUCGGACCUUGCGCUAAUAGAUGAGCCUAAGUCAGAUUAGCUAGUUGGUGGGGUAAAGGCCUACCAAGGCGACGAUCUGUAGCGGGUCUGAGAGGAUGAUCCGCCACACGGGGACUGGGACACGGCCCAGAAUCCUACGGGAGGCAGCAGUGGGGAAUAUUGGACAAUGGGCGAAAGCCUGAUCCAGCCAUGCCGCGUGUGUGAAGAAGGCCUUUUGGUUGUAAAGCACUUUAAGCGAGGAAGAGGCUACUUGGAUUAAUACUCUAGGAUAGUGGACGUUACUCGCAGAAUAAGCACCGGCUAACUCUGUGCCAGCAGCCGCCGUAA